rnacentral:sRNA from 1 species
ACCACAAACGUGAAUAAUUCCAUGUGGACAGGAGCGGGGAAACCACCGCGGACCUCUAUUAAGCCAGAGUUUCGCAACGGGCAUCCGCCCUCGGGGUGAAGCCACAAACGUGGCCGGGCACAGUGAUCCUCCGCCCGAACCCGACAGCUCACUUCGCAGGCGUCAAUAUGAGAGGAACA